rnacentral:tRNA from 1 species
GGGAAAAUAGCUCAGGCGUAGAGCAUCGGUUUCUUAACUCAAAGUUCGAGGGUUCGGUCCCCCGUUUCCCCG